rnacentral:lncRNA from 1 species
GUCAGCAAAAUCAUAACAAGAUAUUUAUUUAUAUUAUUGCCAAAAGCACCUGUGUGACACAAGUACUAGUUUAAAAAGAAACUAAAAUGAACAUAUGAACAACGCAAAACAAAAGGUCCAAGUAUCAUACCCAGUACAGCUCACUCUAGUGGCUAUGGUGCUGAAAGGCCCUGGAGCUGUCCCACUGUAAGAUGGCAAACUGUUUCAGUAAAGUUUGACAACUUACCUGGGUCCCACCGGGUGUCCAUGCCACAUCUGCUACAUGUGGUCGUCUCCAGCAGAUAACACCAGAUUGCUCAGUUAGACUCACAGCCUUGCUGCGGUCUUGCUUUGUUCAAAGCAGUGACAUUGUGCUCCUCUUGCUGGAGAAGACUAUAUGAGGCAGAUGCAGCGCAUGUUCUAUAACAGUGGGACGGAGCCAGGGGACUUCUGGCACCAUGAUCAAUGGAGAGGGUUGUAGUGGUUAUGGUGCUUGGAAUUUUCCUUUAAGGGAAUAAUAUAGCUAUUAAGCAAGCCAGGGGUAACCACAAUAGGAAGGAGCCGAUGCCCAACAAUGUUUCGACACUUUAUUGCUUCUAAAAAGGGACGAGUACACAAUAAAUUAAAGAUAGAAUAUGCUGGGAACAACCAUAAGGGAGUCACAUAGAAAGGGGUUCCACUAGCAAGAUAUUGAAGCCUCCUCUAUGUAAUAGAAAGUGAUGUAUAUAAAUAAUUAGAAUAUUAACAAUAAUUUAGUUAUUUAAAUAGCCCAAGAAAUUUCACGCUGAUUACGUAUUGCAGCGCGGUUUCCCCUCUAUGUAUUACUUUUUCAGUGCAUUUUCACCCCUAAUUAUUGGAAUGAAAGAAAAAUGAGCAGAUUUGGAAGAACGAGUUAAACCAAUAAAAAUCUCAGGGCUGGGGAGCCGGAGUAGGUAUUUUAGAUGCUUAAAAUGUUGACCUAAACACCAGUAUAUACAAUAAAUUGGUAGUAAUUAUAAUAUAAGUAUAUAUAAUAUAAAGUAUCUGAGUCAAUGGUAACAUAAAUUGAGGAGGUUUCUUGUACAGACUUUAGCCUCCUUUCAACUACACAUGAACAGCUUGUCUGGCUAACAGAAAUGUAAACCUUCCAGUGCUAAAACACAGAAAUGUAAAUAUCUACUCUCACAGCUUGGAAAUCAUCCAACUAUUCUGGCCACAUGAGUGUUUAAAACAUAUUUAGGGGCACUCAUGUGGCCAGAAUAGAUGGAUUUCCAAUGGAAAUUAAAGAUACUCUAAAAGGCCUGGUGACUGUAGGUACUCAUACCAGUAAGGGGCCUGGUAACUGUAGGUGGUCAUACCAGUAAUGGGCCUGGUGACUGUAGGAACUCAUACCAGUAAGAGGCCUGGUGACUAUAGGUGGUCAUACCAGUACAGGGCCUGGUGACUGUAGGAACUCAUACCAGUAAGAGGCCUGGUGACUAUAGGUGGUCAUACCAGUACAGGGCCUGGUGACUGUAGGUGGUCAUACCAGUAAGAGGCCUGGUGACUAUAGGUGGUCAUACCAGUACAGGGCCUGGUAACUGUAGGUGGUCAUACCAGUACAGGGCCUGGUGACUGUAGGAACUCAUACCAGUAAGAGGCCUGGUGACUGUAGGUGGUCAUACCAGUACAGGGCCUGGUGACUGUAGGUGGUCAUACCAGUACAGGGCCUGGUGACUGUAGGUGGUCAUACCAGUAAGGGGCCUGGUGACUGUAGGUGGUCAUACCAGUACAGGGCCUGGUGACUGUAGGUGGUCAUACCAGAACAGGGCCUGGUGACUGUAGGUGGUCAUACCAGUAAGGGGCCUGGUGACUGUAGGUGGUCAUACCAGUACAGGGCCUGGUGACUGUAGGAACUCAUACUAGUAAGAGGCCUGGUGACUGUAGGAACUCAUACCAGUAAGAGGCCUGGUGACUGUAGGUGGUCAUACCAGUAAUGGGCCUGGUGACUGUAGGAACUCAUACCAGUAAGGGGCCUGGUAACUGUAGGAACUCAUAUUAGUAAAGGGCCUGGUGACUGUAGGUGGCCAUACCAGUAAUGGGCCUGGAGACUGUACGUACUCAUACCAGUAAUGGGCCUGGUGACUGUACGUACUCAUACCAGUAAUGGGCCUGGUGACUGUACGUACUCAUACCAGUAAUGGGCCUGGUGACUGUACGUACUCAUACCAGUAAAGGGCCUGGUGAUUGUAGGUGGUCAUGCCAGUAAAGGGCCUGGUAAAUGUAGGUGGUCAUACCAGUAAAGGGCCUGGUGACUCUAGGAACUCAUGCCAGUAAUCAGCCUGGUGACUGUAGGUCCUCGUACCAGUAAAGGGCCUGGUGACGAUAGGUGAUCAUACCAGAAAAGGGCCUGGUGACUGUAGGUGGUCAUACCAGAAAAGGGCCAGGUGACUGUAGAUGUCCUUCACGUAGUCCAAGGUUCUGACAAUUUUUUUUCUGGUGGGGGAAAGUUUAUUCUAGUCAAGGCUAGGUCUUCACCUUGUCUACUGGUAUAUAUGUAUAUAUGGGGGAUUGUGAGGGAUUGUCGAACCUUAAUAAAAAGCCCAGAGGACAGUGCAUGUUCGUUGUCUUUGGGGACUCCUUCUGUCACUGUAUCUAUAUAGAGCACAAAAGUCAAAGGCCACCAAAAAUACUAGAAAAUGUUCAAACUCAAAUAACGAUGAUGCCACCCACCACACAUACAUGUUCCCCGAAAGUUUUUGAUUAGUUUUUAACAAUGAAUUUGAGCAUGAUUUUGUGUCUGAAUGAAGGAAUAAGAAGAAAAAAAAAAAAAACAAUUCGGCUACCAGAAAAAACAAAUAAACUGAGUACAUAUAUAUUUUUUUCUGUGCACAUAAAACGAAAACAAGGAAAA